rnacentral:rRNA from 1 species
CCUACGGGAGGCUGCAGUAGGGAAUAUUGCUCAAUGGGGGAAACCCUGAAGCAGCAACGCCGCGUGGAGGAUGAAGGUUUUAGGAUUGUAAACUCCUUUUGUUAGAGAAGAUUAUGACGGUAUCUAACGAAUAAGCACCGGCUAACACCGUGCCAGCAGCCGCGGUAAUACGGAGGGUGCAAGCGUUACUCGGAAUCACUGGGCGUAAAGAGUGCGUAGGCGGGGUAAUAAGUCAGAUGUGAAAUCCUGUAGCUUAACUACGGAACUGCAUUUGAAACUGUUGCUCUGGAGUGUGGGAGAGGUAGGUGGAAUUCUUGGUGUAGCGGUGAAAUGCGUAGAGAUCAAGAGGAAUACUCAUUGCGAAGGCGACCUGCUGGAACGUUACUGACGCUGAUGCACGAAAGCGUGGGGAGCAAACAGGAUUAGAUACCCGAGUAGUC